rnacentral:rRNA from 1 species
GACGAACGCUGGCGGCGUGCCUAAUACAUGCAAGUCGAGCGAAUCUAUGGGAGCUUGCUCCCUGAGAUUAGCGGCGGACGGGUGAGUAACACGUGGGUAACCUGCCUGUAAGACUGGGAUAACUUCGGGAAACCGGAGCUAAUACCGGAUACUUUCUUUUCUCGCAUGAGGGAAGAUGGAAAGAUGGUUCUGCUACCACUUACAGAUGGACCCGCGGCGCAUUAGCUAGUUGGUGAGGUAACGGCUCACCAAGGCGACGAUGCGUAGCCGACCUGGGAGGGUGAUCGGCCACACUGGGACUGCGACACGGCCCAGACUCCUACGGGAGGCAGCAGUAGGGAAUCUUCCGCAAUGGACGAAAGUCUGACGGAGCAACGCCGCGCGAGCGAAGAAGGCCUUCGGGUCGUAAAGCUCUGUUGUUAGGGAAGAACAAGUACGAGAGUAACUGCUCGUACCUUGACGGUACCUAACCAGAAAGCCACGGCUAACUACGUGCCAGCAGCCGCGGUAACAC